rnacentral:rRNA from 1 species
CCCGCUGAACUUAAGCAUAUCAAUAAGCGGAGGAAAAGAAACUAACAAGGAUUCCCCUAGUAACUGCGAGUGAAGCGGGAAAAGCUCAAAUUUAAAAUCUGGCGGUCUCUGGCUGUCCGAGUUGUAAUCUAGAGAAGUAAUGCCCGUGCUGGACCGUGUAUAAGUCUCCUGGGAUGGGGCGUCAUAGAGGGUGAGAAUCCCGUCUUUGACACGGACUACCAGUGCAUUGUGGUAUGCUCUCAAAGAGUCGAGUUGUUUGGGAAUGCAGCUCAAAAUGGGUGGUAAAUUCCAUCUAAAGCUAAAUAUUGGCGAGAGACCGAUAGCGAACAAGUACCGUGAGGGAAAGAUGAAAAGAACUUUGGAAAGAGAGUUAAACAGUACGUGAAAUUGCUGAAAGGGAAACGCUUGAAGUCAGUCGCGUUGGCCGGGGAUCAGCCUUGCUUUUGCAUGGUGUACUUUCUGGUUGACGGGUCAGCAUCAAUUUUGACCGCUGGAAAAAGACCUGGGGAAUGUGGCAGCUUCGGCUGUGUUAUAGCCCCUAGUCGCAUACAGUGGUUGGGAUUGAGGAACUCAGCACGCCGCAAGGCCGGGUUUCGACCACGUUCGUGCUUAGGAUGCUGGCAUAAUGGCUUUAAGCGACCCGUCUUGAAACACGG